rnacentral:misc_RNA from 1 species
AAGACUAUAGACCUGCGGAGUACCUGCGGAAGGAUCAUCACCAAAAAAAACAAAAACAAACAAAACCCACAAGAAACCGCCCGCUUUUUCUCCCUAACGAGAGAAAAAGGGGGGCUGGGAAAACAAACCCCAAAAAAGAAAAAAAAUUUUUUAUACAAAUAAGACUCCUCUUAUUUCUUUAAAAGAAUUUUUUUUAUUUUUGAAACUCUAAUUACCUCUUAUUUAAUAACUUUUUGAUAC